UUGAAAACAACGUUCAAACCUAUGAUUGGGUUGGAUAAAAACCGCAAUUUUUAUACGUGUGCAUGCAAAACAAUUAAAUUUCAUGUUAGAGGGGUCUAAAUACAGCACAAACAAUAUUUUCCAAAAGAUACAUGAUGUUAUGUUCUUCCCUCGCUGGGAUUAUAUAUUUAUUUAUAUUUAUUAUUUAGAUACACUGCUCCACCUCCACUUGCUCCAUCCGUGGAGAUUAGGACGAAACAACACCCUCAUACCCAACAAAUAUCAAAUGAACAAGAUGAGAUUACUUAUUUGGAAAAGGUGGACAGAAUAACCAAUAAAAAGAUAAUGAACUUGCAAGUGAAAAUGAACUACCACAACAUCAUAUUUAAAAGAACUGAAAAAAAAUUGGAGAAAGAAAUUAAAGAUGGUGAUAAGAUAGAAAAUCGCCUGUUGUACCUUAAAGUACAAAAAAUGUUUAGUAAUUGAACAUAUCAAUAAAUUAAGAAUAAUAUUGUAUUUAGUCAUUUAUUUUAUAAAGAUUGCAAUCAUCAUUGAUUCAUGAUUUUGUCGCCUACACAGUGUUUAAUCAUUGUCAGUGUUAAAAUUAAUCACCUGUUUCACAAGCGAAAAAAAAUCUGUCAUUAGGUGUUAUAAAAGGAUGAGUCAGCAUUAAAAUGUAUGGGUGCUAUAAAAAUGUAUGGCAUUAUGACGUCAUGAUAGGUUUGACGUCAUGAUAGGUUAGAAGUGGGUGUCAUAAGUUGUCAUAAUGGGUGUUUUAAUUCAUAUAAUUUAUUUAUGACCCCUAUAUUAUAUCAUUUUAUGUCAUAUUAUGUCAUAUUAUGUCAUUUGAGAUUAUGUAAGAUGAUAUAACUUGGGGGUCUUAAUUUUAUUUUGGGGGGUCCAAGAACCCCCUAUAGUAGAAGUCGAAGUUAGUUUUAGACACGUCCAAUGUAGAGAGUGAGGAUCAGGGGGAAACCAAGACAAAAAGCCCUGUCAAUGUCAUGCCAGUACAGACAAAUAGCUAUAGCCCUGUCAAUGUAUAGCCAGUCCAGACAAAAUCUAGGACAAUUAAAAGUAAUAAUAUAUAGUUCAGAGUGUUUAUUGGGCUAUGGUGCUAUCUUACUUUAACAUGUCUAUGUUCCGAGAUAUGAACAAAAACCAAGAAGUGGACCAUGGAACACUACCCAAGACUCUUCCAUGGUUGAAGUAUCAUUACUAUACCAUGUGGACAUAACCAAUAAACUUAACCAGAGUCAAUGAAGCGUAAUAUGAAGGUCAAAGUGACCUGAACGUUAUUGGACCUUGCAACACUACCCAAGAUGCUUCGACAGGUGAAUUAUCAUUUCUAUAACGUGUAUUUUAAAUUUUACUUUGAAACAAACAUUAAUAAUUUUUUUUUAAGAAUGUCUGUACCUUUCACGUUUCACUUGGAUGCAUUGAAACAAUGCAAACUUUGUAAUUCAUGCAAUAUGUUUAAGGAGGAAAUGGAUAAAUUUAUAGACUGUGUUCCACUAGUCAUUCAAAGACUUUUCAUAGACUCAUUAGUUGAGACUUUUCACUGUAUUAUUCAUUCACCGGGGCACAUGUGGUUCUUCCACCUGUUUAAGAGAGGCGACCAGUUUUUGGAGUCUUUUUACCAUAUGCAAAAGGAUGGAUACCAGUAUUAGACGUCAGAUAAUGGAGGUUAUAUGUUAAUGUAGCAAAUGACAGGUAAGCAAUUAAAAAUAUAAAAAAAAAACAAUUUUCCAAUUUAAAACAUAAAAAAUGGAAAAAAAAUUAUAAUUUUUAAAAUGACUGGGGACUUCCUGCAUAGGAAGAAAGAUGCCACUUUCCAUAUUUUGACCCCUACCACCCCUCUUGCAAAAACAUCUAGUCUUUUUACACAAACACACCAACAAACCCAACAAAACUGAAAUAAAUAUAUGAAAAUGUACUACAUGAAAGAUGAAAGAGAAUUUUUUUUUUUUAAAUAGGGGUAAACAAAUAUGAGCAAUGAGAGAAAACCAGGACAUUUUAAUACAUGUGUAGAACUUUUCAUUCUUUGAUGAAGGCUUUUAUUAACUUACAUUUUCCUAUAAAUAGAAAACACUGUAAAAUGUUACAUUGAUUAUAAUAUGUCUUCAAUUUCACGGACUGAUAACUUAGAAUACAUA